rnacentral:misc_RNA from 1 species
GAUUAAGAACGUAGCGAAAUGCGAUAAGUAAUGUGAAUUGCAGAAUUCAGUGAAUCAUCGAAUCUUUGAACGCACAUUGCGCCCCCUGGUAUUCCGGGGGGCAUGCCUGUUCGAGCGUCAUUUCACCACUCAAGCCUCGCUUGGUAUUGGGCAACGCGGUCCGCCGCGUGCCUCAAAUCGACCGGCUGGGUCUUCUGUCCCCUAAGCGUUGUGGAAACUAUUCGCUAAAGGGUGUUCGGGAGGCUACGCCGUAAAACAACCCCAUUUCUAAGGUUGACCUCGGAUCAGGUAGGGAUACCCGCUGAACUUAAGCAUAUCAAUAAGCGGAGGA